AUUGCAGAGGCAAAGCAGGGGAUGAAGAGGAGAGACAUUUUCUCUGGGUGCAGAAGUGGAUCAGUGAAGUCAUCACACAUAUGGACAGCUGACUGAAUCAAGUGCAGGAAGAAUUAAACAGCCAACACAUACAAAAAGCUUCAGGAAGAGAGAGGUGCUUUAGAUCCAACGCCAACCAUCACCGACAGAAAAGGGUUUGAUCCAAUGAUUGAUGAGGGCCUUAAUGGAGCACUAUGGAGACGAAAAGCCAGAAAGGAAAUGCCUUCCAUCCCACAACCACUUAUUAGUAACGGGUUUCGGACAAAGCGGCCCCCAAACAUCGUAGUGGCAAUGGUGCUCAUGCACGCAAGCCCUUUGAAACGUCUAUGUAGGUGCAUGUGUUUUGGUCCAUGCACAGUGUGCGUGCAGCAUUAACGUUGCAAAGUGUGCACAUUUAUGUGAGAGUAUAUGCAUUAAUGUGUAUGUGAGGCUAUCAAACUGGCUUGCACUAACCCCCUAAUGGGAUCAUAUUCGAUAAGAAACACCACUCAGCCAGACAAAAAUGCAAACACAUCCUCUUGAUGUUUCUAUUCCAAGAUGGCCUGCUUUCUUGGAAAGCUAAAUGGAGCAUUAGCAGAUGGUCUCUGGAUUCUGGUGGAGUUUUUUUCCCAUAGUGGGAAGCAGUUAUUUAUUUUCAG